GGCCUCGUAAAUAUCUUCGUUCACCUCUCUCCCAUUCUAUCUUUUUAACUCCCUUGUCUCUAAUUUGCCCUAGAUGUUCUUCCGAAUCUGCUCUAAAGCCUUCGCUGUUACGAAUUCCGCCUGAUUUCCGGAGAUUUAUCCGCCGGAUCUCGAUUAUGUUCGUGGUGAGAGAUCGACAUUUACAAAUUCCUACGUGUACGAUUCUCUUUUCGACGCCGCUUUGUUCGUCGGCGAAUUUUGAUGAUACCCGUAGAUGAGAAUUAUUUGGAUCGAUCUCAAGUGAACAUGUCUCCAUUUUCAGGUGAGAUUCAUCGUUUCGAUUUUUCGGGCGGAUGCAUUUCUUGAGCCUUUUCCCCUUUUUCAUGGAGAUACUGCGAUCCAUUUAAAAAAAAUUGGCAAUCUGCUGCAGUUAAAUCAAGGAGGAUGAGAUUCUGAAGAGUUGCAGGUGUCAAUGC